GCCUAAACUAAAUUGAAGUAGAUUCGUAGCAAGUCGGCAAAUGUCCUUAGUGACCUUCGGGAAGGUAUUAACCAAUUCUUUGACUAACCAUCCUCUUAGUUAUAGCACCAGACGAUUAGACGCAAGGAAUUAAAUCAGCAAAUAGAUUAUGAGACUCUUCUUCCUUUUGUAGCCCCGGUACAUCUCAUUGUCUGGUAUUCCGUAUGUCUCCUUGUCUCUUGGAAAAGCUUCAAAUCAUAUCCCCUCCACAUCAUAUAGGUCAUCUCCGCAAUUAGGAAUACCCGAGGGCCAAGAACCGAUAUUCUCUAAUCCUCAUAAAAGAAAAGAAGUAGAGUUUGUUCACAAGGUUGGGUCGUGAUAUAUAGUUUGUGUGCCGGUAAAGAAAGCACUUGGCUUUAGAGCCCUAUCACGUAAGGGAGAAGACAGAAUGUGUGAAGCAUACAGUGAACUUCUCUCCUCUCUUACUCGAGCCAUCAGGCAAUGCGGGUCAAGCUGUCCAACUCUUGUUUGCAGACCGAUUGGCUUAUCUCUAAACCUGUUCCGGAUGUGCCUCCGCGCUGAAAGGGGCACUCAUUCCCAUUCCCGGGUUGCUGAAAGUGAGCUAAGCAGCAAGAAAGAGAUCUUUCCUAAGCUGCGUAGCAGAAAUGCUAGUCCCGAAAGGGUAGCUGACUCAACUAACUGCUAGUCUGACCUAGUCCCGGUGGGGGACGACUAGUUCAUUAGGCUUGGAAGAAAGAGUAUUUUCAAGAGCCCACUACGCUCCUAACCAGGACGAGAUUUCCGCCCUCAAAGGGGAAAUUCACGGAUUGAUUCAAGAGCAAGUACGUGUGGAAUCAGAAAAAGGAAUGGGUCCCCUGUCCAUUCUGUUUCCACAACAAAGACAGAUCAACUCCCAAACGGCCCACUAUAUUCUAAGGGAACUUGAACUGUCCACGGAGACUGAUACGGGCCUUCUUUUCUUCGGCAAUGGGCGCAAAAACUCAAAAGUGAUCCUAAAAAACUUAACUCACUAAUACGGGAUUACCUUCCCCCCCAAAAAAAAGUAUUCUAUUAGGAGUGAGUAGCGCCACCGAACAAGAGGACCUAGGAGGGAAGGAAAGGUAAAGCUGGCGGAGACCCUGGCUGAGUAAUUGACUGAGAAUGUAAGUCAGUGAGGUUCCUGGUAUAGUUCAGUGAGAAGAUCCUUGACUAUACCAGGAAGAAGACAGGCGGGGAUGAGCCGAACGAGAGCGAGGCUAGUCUCAGCGGGAGGGCUGUCGGUCUGGUCGUCCCCCAUCUAAGACUAAGACAUAGAAGGACGAAAAAGGGCUUUGAGAAGAAGCUCUUCCUUCUUCACUUCAGGAAGAGCGCCGACGGCAACAGCUAAUUCAGCUAAAUCAAUGGUACGUGGGAGCCUUCCUAAAAGAAAGAAAAGACUGACCUUGCUGCUUUCAUUUCAUAGCAGAAAAAGCGCUUUUUUAUUUUAGGGCAAGGGAUGGUGCGCGUUCAACAAACUGCGGUGAAACUUUAGGUCCUUUGUUUUAGUUUACAUGCGCCUGUGCGUGAUCCAGGGACGGAUAAAGAGAUCGAAAGAAGAAGCUUGUAUUCGAUGCCUGCUCAUAUGUCACUUCCGUCCCCCAAUCCCCUUCCCCUGUAGUUGGUUUGGUUGGAGCAGGAGUUAAGUAGCUUUCCUUGGGUCAGAUGUGGCAUUUCUUCUAUAAGAUAAGCGGAUAUUCCUCCAACUUGGGAUACCUUUAUACGCCUUAUAUACGCUAGCAAAUAUGUGCCUUGCCCUUCUUCCUUACCAUUCACUUGACCGUCAUUCCCUACCGCUACCAUCAGACCCAUAAGUGCCUAUCCUUGCUAUCCAGUCUCCUUCCCUAUCCGAUACGAUACAAGACAUAGCUACCCAUACGACAUAUCCGAUCCCACCGAGCAAACAAAGACGUCAGGCCUUUCUUUUGCUAUCCAAAGCGGCACGAAGCGGCUUCAACCCGAGGAUUACCGGCUUGCUUCCAUAGAUGAACGACCAGACUGGACUUGUUCUUGCCCGGGAGUAACUACGAACUGAACUCGAUACUAAAGCUGUUCAGGCUACUCAAGACUCAUCGCUAUCCUCACGAGAAAGAAAACGAAAGACCUAAAGACUCAAGACCUGCCCGGCUUCCCUUGCUCCCUAGCUCUUCCUUCCCUGACUUUCGGACUACUUUCUUGCUGGCUUGACGUCUUGACUUAGAGCUUUCACGUGGCAAUCGAGCUGCCAUUGAUGGAUAAAAUCCUGCUAUAACUAGAAAGAGGGAGUUGGCAGAGGUAGAAUCGGCAUCUGUCUCGCCUGCUGGAAAGCUUUACUUGGCUAUUGAAAUCAGCAGCAGAUAAAAUAAACUUAAUUAAGAAAAAUCCGUUCUUGGAAGAAUUUCUACUAGAAGGGAGGAGUUCCCAUACCCAGUAAAAUGAUUAAGGAGUUUUCCCUCCUCUAGCUCUAGGGGAAUGCUUUAAUAUAAUAAGCUUCUGUCGUUAGAACGAGAAUAGCUCAAGUGGAAUCUCUUUUGGGAGGGUUCCGGAAUUGAUAGAGUCAAGUCAUAUAUGGCAUUCAAAUCGCCAAAUCGUUAUCUUUGUCUAGAGUAAGUUGGUGUGAAUUCUACUACAGUAGAGGAUCUACAAUCAUUAGCUCUGGUUCACAGGCAAGGCUUACGUGAGGGGAUUGAGUUUAAGAUAUAGUUACAGCCUAUCAUACGGCUUAAUCAAGUAGGAGUUCUGUUAUAUCUCCUUCAUUGUGGUAGUUUUGAUACCAUUCCGUCCUACUUAUGUGAUGCUAUUCUUUUAUUCCUAAUCCAGCUCAUCCGAGUCCGAGUCCGAGUCCGAGUCCGAGUCCGAGUCCGAGUCUGAGGAAGGAUGAGGGCAUCUGGACUCAGUCUAGCAAUGGGAAGUUCUCAAUCUCUAGUGCUUGGAAUGAUGUCGCAUAUCAGCUG